rfam:Papio anubis isolate 1X1155 chromosome 1, whole genome shotgun sequence.
GAUAGUAGUAAAUAUUCAAAGGAGAACUUCCAAGGCCGAAGUGGAGAAGGGUUGCAUGUGAAUAGCAGUUGAACGUGGAUCAGUCGGUCCUGAGAAAUAGGCAAGCGCCGCUCUGAAUGGACAGGCGAUGGCCUCGUUGCCCUCAGCCGAUGGAAAGGGAGUCCCGUUCAGAUCCCCGAAUCUGGAGCGGCGGAGGUGGACGCCGCCAAGCAUCCAGCGCAGUAAUGCGAAAGAUCCCAGAGAAGCUGGCGGAAGGCCCGGGGGAGAGUUCUUUUCUCCUUGUGAAGGGCAGGGCACCCUGGAAUUGGGUUGGCCUGGAGAGAGGGGUCCCUGCCUUGGAAAGCGUCACAGUUCCAGUGGCAUCUGAUGAGCUCUGGCUGGCCCUUGAAAAUGCGGGGAAGAGGGUGUAAAUCUCGCGCCAGGCUGUACCCAUAUCCGCAGCAUUCCUCCCUCUGAACUAAGACUUCUAGGCC